ACCCCCGUGAGAAUGCCCUAUUUUACCAAACAUUGGAAAAUAGGAGCUGGUAUCAGGCACAAAUUAUUAGCCCACGACACCUUGCUCAGCCACACCCCCACGGGUUAUUCAGCAGUAAUAAACAUUAAGCCAUGAGUGAAAACUCGACUUAGUUAACAUCAAGCAGGGCCGGUUAAACUCGUGCCAGCCACCGCGGUUAUACGAGAGGCCCAAGUUGACAAAAGCCGGCGUAAAGAGUGGUUAAUAUAUAGUAUAAACUAAAGCCGAACACCUUCAAGGCCGUCAUACGUACCCGAAAGCAGGAAGACCUCCAACGAAAGUGGCUUUAACCAGAAUGAAACCACGAAAGCUAUGGCACAAACUGGGAUUAGAUACCCCACUAUGCAUAGCCGUAAACACAAAUACACCACUACCCCAACCAUUCGCCAGGGAACAACGAGCCCCAGCUUAAAACCCAAAGGACUUGGCGGUGCUUUAGACCCCCCUAGAGGAGCCUGUUCUAGAACCGAUACUCCCCGUUCAACCUCACCCCCUCUUGUUUACCCCGCCUAUAUACCGCCGUCGUCAGCUUACCCUGUGAAGGUUAAACAGUAAGCAGAAUUGGCAUAGCCCAAAACGUCAGGUCGAGGUGUAGCGUACGAGGGGGGAAGAAAUGGGCUACAUUUACUGUCUCAGUAAACACGAAUAUUGCUGUGAAAUCAGCAUUUGAAGGAGGAUUUAGCAGUAAGGGGCGAAUAGAGAGCCCCCCUGAAAAUGGCCCUUAAGCGCGCACACACCGCCCGUCACUCUCCCCAAUACAUACCAAACAAUAAGUAAUUAAAAUUAAUAAAUAAGGGGAGGCAAGUCGUAACAUGGUAAGUGUACCGGAAGGUGCACUUGGAAAAAC
rnacentral:ncRNA from 1 species